GAGGCACCGAUCACUGCUCCAUCGCCGCCCGCACAGGCCCGCCUUGGCCGCGGGCUCCGGAGUCCAGGCCC
rfam:Equus caballus chromosome 12, whole genome shotgun sequence.